rnacentral:rRNA from 1 species
AGGAUAAACGCUGGCGGCGUGCCUAACACAUGCAAGUCGAACGAGAAAGUGGAGCAAUCCAUGAGUAAAGUGGCGCACGGGUGAGUAACACGUGACUAACCUACCCUUGAGUGGGGGAUAACCUAGGGAAACCUGGGCUAAUACCGCAUAAUACCUUCGGGUCAAAGGAGCAAUUCGCUUAAGGAGGGGGUCGCGGCCGAUUAGUUAGUUGGCGGGGUAAUGGCCCACCAAGACUGUGAUCGGUAUCC